rnacentral:misc_RNA from 1 species
CGCACCUUGCGCCCUCUGGUAUUCCGGAGGGCAUGCCUGUUUGAGUGUCUUGAUAUCAUCAAACCCCUCGGGUUCGCGCCCGUUGCGGUUUGGAGUUGGGGGCUUCUUGCUGGCCGCUCGCGGUUGGCUCCCCUUAAAAUCAUCGGUUUGGCUCGCACCAUGCGGCUUGCACCUUUGGCGUUGUAUUUUCCUCGCCUUCGAUCGGUCUUGCUCGUUUCCGCGCCUCACUUCGACGUGCCCUUUGGGUGGCGGUCACUUCUUGACAAUCUGGCCUCAAAUCAGGUAGGACUACCCGCUGAACUUAA